CCAUUCUGGUCCGUGUCCGUCCAUUUCUGUGUUGCUUUCAACUUUCCCACUGUGGCUUUCUUCUCCCUGCCUCACUCUUCUCCCUGGAUAUUCCACCCUCCUCCUUCCUGUCCCCUCUAUUGGCUGUCAGAUCUUCAUUACAUCCAGUCAGUAGUAAGACAACCUCUGAUAGGCUUCUACACUGCUGUUAGGCAGGUGAGGUGAGGACGAAUAUUUACAAAAUAGAAAACCACCCAGUGAUGGGCCAUAGAAAUGAUGAUACCAAAAUCCUGACAGCAUGUAGCUUUCUGCUGUUACAGAAUUAACAACCGAAAAUUAAUACAGAAAUGCACCUUCACACAAUGUAAAGAAAGCUUACCCCCAAAAUUUUGGCUGGUAGGCAUGUCUGCAAGGUAUUGUCUUGAGCCUUAACUGAUGGAGGAAAGAUACAGCCCACUGUGGGCAGCGUCAUUCCUUAGGUAGGGCCCACUAAAGUAUGUAAGAGGAGAAAUCAAGCCCUGUGUAAGUAAAUGAGUGAAUAGCAUUUGUGUGUUCAUUUCUUUCUGUUCUUGACUGUGGAUAUUUAAGUUCCUACUUCCACCUUUCCCCCAAUGGUGAAAAUUAAUAUGGAAAUAAAAGCUAAAAAUAA
rnacentral:lncRNA from 1 species